AUACUUACCUGACGUAGGGGAUAUCGUGAUCAUGCAGGCGGUUCCCCCAGGGCGAGGCUGCUCCAUUGCACUGCGGAGUGGUUGAUCCUUGCGAUUAUUUUUAUUUUUAUCAAUAAAAAAAUCAUACUCACACAUACAUCAUACAUAAUGUAUACCCGAAUAAUUAUUUUCUUUAUA
rnacentral:snRNA from 1 species